UACGUAGGGGGCAAGCGUUGUCCGGAUUUAUUGGGCGUAAAGAGCGUGUAGGCGGCUAGGUAGGUCCGUUGUGAAAACUCGAGGCUCAACCUCGAGACGCCGAUGGAAACCAUCUAGCUAGAGUCCGGAAGAGGAGAGUGGAAUUCCUGGUGUAGCGGUGAAAUGCGCAGAUAUCAGGACGAACACCCGUGGCUAAGGCGGCUCUCUAGUACGGUACUGACGCUGAGACGCGAAAGCGUGGGGAGCGAACAGG
rnacentral:rRNA from 1 species